AUUUUAUUUAAAUAUAUGAAUUAUAAUGUAGUUAUUUUUGUCCAGACCAAAUAACUGCACUUUGGAAAACAAGUAUUGAAGAUCUACACAAGUUGGAAAUGGAAAAAUGCCAAUUAACUUCAAGGUUGAAAGCUAGUCAAGACGAACUAUAAAAGUUGGAAAAGGAAAAAGAACUUGUCUGCGAUGAUUGCCAGAAGAAAAGAGGAAGGAUUGAAGUAAGAACAUAUUUACUCUAUACAUUUGAAAAAAUUAUGUUACAUAAAUUUUUAUUUUAAUAUUAUACCAAGCAACCAAGUUUCAGAAAUUGCAAUACACUUCCUUAUUUUGUAUACUCAAUGUAUUGAGGAAAAAAUAUUUUAGUAAUGCAAUUCUUCAACAUCUUUAGUUUGGUACUUGACGUUUUGGCGCAGCUGAUUUAGCGCGACCGUUUUCGCUCGAGAUGUUUGGCGCAAGCCGUUGUGGCACAAGUAACGUUUUGACGCGAGAUAGUCUGACUAUAAUGUAAGAAACACGUAGCUUUUAUAAUAAAAUAAACUAUAUUACUGUAUGUAUAUUAUGGGUUUCAACCCCCAUCCACCGAAUUUUUUUUUGACAUUUUUUUUAUUAUUUCAUGAAUAUAUAAUAAGUCAGAUUAGUACCUGAGGUCAUGGUACUUACAUGCUUCCCUCUCCUCCUAAAUUAUAUGAAAAUGUUGCAAUGCACAGUGGAUUACAUCUGUUGA
rnacentral:sRNA from 1 species